UCCCGCUGCCGGUUGUGAACUGUGCCUCGUGCUGUGGAAGAAUGAGGAUGAGCCUUGGGUUGACUUUCAAGUCAGCAAAAGGCCAUUGGGUUGUGAACCUUAGCCAGCAGUGCUCACGUGGAUUUAUUGGGUCAUUUGUGCCACCAAGUCCUCCGUUGGACCCUGAGAAGGUCAAAGAGUUACAGCGCUUCAUCACCCUUUCCAAGAGACUCUUUGUGAUGACUGGGGCAGGAAUCUCCACUGAGUCAGGCAUCCCAGACUACAGAUCAGAAAAGGUGGGUCUUUAUGCCCGCACUGACCGGAGGCCCAUCCAGCACAAGGAUUUUAUGCAGAGUGCUCCAAUCCGCCAGCGGUAUUGGGCAAGGAACUUUGUGGGCUGGCCUCAGUUCUCCUCCCACCAACCUAACCCUGCACACUGGGCUUUGAGCAACUGGGAGAAGCUUGGAAAGUUGUACUGGUUGGUGACCCAAAAUGUGGAUGCCUUGCACACCAAAGCGGGGAGUCAGCGCCUGACAGAGCUCCAUGGAUGCAUGCACAGAGUCCUCUGCUUGGACUGUGGUGAACAGACUCCCCGAAGGGUGCUGCAGGAGCGCUUCCAAGCCCUAAACCCUGACUGGAGUGCUGAGGCCCAUGGCGUGGCUCCUGAUGGCGAUGUCUUUCUCUCAGAGGAGCAGGUCCAGAGCUUUCAGGUACCAUCAUGUGUUCGAUGUGGAGGCCCUCUGAAACCAGAUGUUGUUUUCUUCGGAGACACAGUGAACCCUGACAAGGUUGAUUUUGUGCACAAACGUGUCAAAGAAGCCGACUCUCUCUUGGUGAUAGGAUCAUCCUUGCAGGUGUACUCCGGUUACAGGUUUAUCCUCACUGCCAGGGAGAAGAAGCUACCGAUAGCAAUACUGAACAUUGGGCCCACACGGUCUGAUGACUUGGCAUGUCUAAAACUGAAUUCCCGUUGUGGAGAGUUGCUGCCUUUAAUAGAUCCACACUGACCACAGCCUGAUGUUCCUGAGCCAAGAACAGGGACUUGUACUGCUGCUAAAGAUCCUUAAGGAUUCAUCCUUUUUACUUCGAACUAAUUGAAGGUCAUUGAGUGUAGCCUAUAGAAGGCAGCAAAACAAUGUCUCUCUACCAGCCCAGCUCUGAACUGGACACAUUUCAGAGCUGAGUUAAGUUCUUCAGGCUGAUGAGAUUUGCCCUUAAAGAAAUAAUUUUUUCACAGAAGCAGUUGCUUUUGAUAGGAAAACUGUAUUCACUUCCAUUUUUGUAAUUUCACCUGGCAGAAGAAAUGACCUGGGAAAUGUGGAGUAUCCUAACCCAAGGAUCUAACUAAUUUGGGGACGGGGAGGUUAAAGGUAGAAGGAAAUGAUAUAAUUUAUAAUCCAAAUGGCUAAGUGUCUUUAA